UCUCCACGGUUUUGCAACCAAUGAGCCCUGGGAAUAAAUAUUAAGAAAAACAACAAGUAUAACAGUAGUUGUCUGAAGGGUGCGCGUGCCACAGUUGUUAGUAGAGUGGGAAGUGUUUUCCAUGCAAAUCCUUUAGAAUCCAAUUAACUAAUUUGUAAGGUAAACUUCCUGACAGAUCUGUGGUCAGAAUUGCUCUCCAGGACCUGAUCAAACAGAGGAGACCACAUCAGAGCAAGCAAUACAAAGGCAAGCCCUGAGAUACUUCUGCUUGCCAAGGCCCUUCUUUGUGACUGGAGAGCGAAGUGACUGUAGUGGAUCUGAUUGAACUGCAUUGAAGGCACAAGAGCCUUCUCGCAGCCAAAAGAUACUGCAGCCCAACAAAAUGAUCAUCUUGGAUUUGUUCCUUUAACACCGACUCUUAGUGCAGUCCUGAUUUUCUGUAUUAAUGAAUUGAGAAGAUGACAUCAGGCUCUUAGGUCUUUGGAAAGAGGAUUUUGAAGUCCUGGGAACAUGUGGACCUCUCCGCCAUGGUUCAGCUGUGAUGGGAAGGUGUUGUUGGAAAUCUGAAGUGUACAACAAGGUCAUAAUUACG